rnacentral:rRNA from 1 species
CCUACGGGAGGCAGCAGUAAGGAAUAUUGGUCAAUGGAGGCAACUCUGAACCAGCCAUGCCGCGUGCAGGAAGACUGCCCUAUGGGUUGUAAACUGCUUUUAUCCGGGAAUAAACCUGCUUACGUGUAAGUAGCUGAAUGUACCGGAAGAAUAAGGAUCGGCUAACUCCGUGCCAGCAGCCGCGGUAAUACGGAGGAUCCAAGCGUUAUCCGGAUUUAUUGGGUUUAAAGGGUGCGUAGGCGGCCUGUUAAGUCAGGGGUGAAAGACGGUAGCUCAACUAUCGCAGUGCCCUUGAUACUGAUGGGCUUGAAUGGACUAGAGGUAGGCGGAAUGAGACAAGUAGCGGUGAAAUGCAUAGAUAUGUCUCAGAACACCGAUUGCGAAGGCAGCUUACUAUGGUCUUAUUGACGCUGAGGCACGAAAGCGUGGGGAUCGAAACAGGAUUAGAUACCCUGGUAGUCCACGCCCUAAACGAUGAACACUCGCUGUGGCGAUACACAGUCAGCGGCGUACGACGAAGACGUUAGUAGUUCCGACCGUCGGGUAGGUACGCCCGCCGACGGUAGGUAACGUACGAAGUAGUAGUUAGUACGGACGUAGAGACGUUCGCCGACGGACGACGACGAGGGAGGUAGG